rnacentral:rRNA from 1 species
GUCUUUUUGAUUUUUAUUUAAAGUCUGACCUGCCCUCUGAGGAGUUUAAAGGCUGCAGUAUCCUAACUGUACAAAGGUAGCAUAAUCAUUAGUCUUUUAAUUGAAGACUUGUAUGAACGGUUUGACGAGGAAGAAACUGUCUCAACUUAAUUUAUGUAGAAAUUUAUUUUUUAGUUAAAAAGCUAAAAUAUAUUUGAAAGACGAGAAGACCCUGUAGAGUUUAACAGGUUUUUUUUAUUAGAAUUUAGUAGGAUAAUUGGGUUCAGUAAAAUAAAUUUGUUUUGUUGGGGCGAUAGAAAAAUUUAAUAAACUUUUUUUAAUUAAAACAAUAAUUUUUGAUUAUAUGAUCCGCUUGGGCGAUUAAAAGAUUAAAUUACCUCAGGGAUAACAGCGUAAUUUUUCUUGAGAGUUCCUAUUAAAAGAAAAGUUUGCGACCUCGAUGUUGGAUUAAAAUUAAUAAUUGGUGUAGAAGCUAAUUUAUUAGGUCUGUUCGACCUUUAAAAUUUUACGUGAUCUAGU